rnacentral:rRNA from 1 species
UGUACAGUGGCGAACGGGUGAGGACUACAUGGGUAACCUACCCUCGAGUGGGGAAUAACUAGCCGAGAGGUUAGCUAAUACCGCGUACGCUUCCGGGACUGCGGUUCCGGAAGGAAAGCGAUACCGUGGGUAUCGCGCUCUUGGAUGGGCUCAUGCCCUAUCAGCUUGUUGGUGAGGUAACGGCUCACCAAGGCUUCGACGGGUAGCUGAUCUGAGAGGAUGAUCAGCCACACUGGCACUGCGACACGGGCCAGACUCCUACGGGAGGCAGCAGUAAGGAAUAUUGCGCAAUGGGCGAAAGCCUGACGCAGCGACGCCGCGUGGGGGAUGAAGGUCUUCGGAUUGUAAACCCCUUUCGGGAGGGAAGAUGGGAUGGGGUAACCCAUUCGGACGGUACCUCCAGAAGCAGCCACGGCUAACUUCGUGCCAGCAGCCGCGGUAAUACGAAGGUGGCAAGCGUUGUUCGGAUUUACUGGGCGUACAGGGAGCGUAGGCGGUUGGGUAAGCCCUCCGUGAAAUCUCCAGGCUUAACCUGGAAAGUGCAGAGGGGACUGCUC